CAAUAAGUAAAACCCAAAACAAAAUACAGCCCAAUAGUAACAGACCUUAGCUCAAAACACUUUCAGAAAAAGGAAAACAAAAACCUAGCCUCUAACCCUAGACGUCACACGCCUUAAUUGCCGCCGCCUCCUCCGCACACGUACGCCUCUUCCACGGCCUCCAUACCUGUGAGAAAAGUGGAUCCAAACAGCAGUAGACGCAGCAAAUAACAGAAUAGAUAGUUUUUCAUUUUUUUUUCUUUAUUUCAUUUUUAUUUUUGUUUUUGUACUUUUCGACUAUAAACGGCCAGAUACGAAGCUUUAGAAGGGGGAGAACAAUUUUUUUCGACACAGAGAGAAAUACAAAGAAAAAGAUUUAAAAUAGAGUUAAAAAGAA
rnacentral:lncRNA from 1 species